rnacentral:rRNA from 1 species
GACGAACGCUGGCGGCGUGCUUAACACAUGCAAGUCGAACGGAAAGGCCCUGCUUUUGCGGGGUGCUCGAGUGGCGAACGGGUGAGUAACACGUGAGUAGCCUGCCCUUGACUUUGGGAUAACUUCAGGAAACUGGGGCUAAUACCGGAUAGGAGCUCCUGCUGCAUGGUGGGGGUUGGAAAGUUUCGGCGGUUGGGGAUGGACUCGCGGCUUAUCAGCUUGUUGGUGGGGUAGUGGCUUACCAAGGCUUUGACGGGUAGCCGGCCUGAGAGGGUGACCGGCCACAUUGGGACUGAGAUACGGCCCAGACUCCUACGGGAGGCAGCAGUGGGGAGUAUUGCACAAUGGGCGGAAGCCUGAUGCAGCAACGCCGCGUGCGGGAUGACGGCCUUCGGGUUGUAAACCGCUGUCGCCUGUAACGAAGCGUGAGUGACGGUAAUGGGUAAAGAAGCACCGGCUAACUACGUG